AUUCCUACGGGAGGCAGCAGUGGGGAAUCUUGCGCAAUGGGCGAAAGCCUGACGCAGCCAUGCCGCGUGAAUGAUGAAGGUCUUAGGAUUGUAAAAUUCUUUCAGCGGGGAAGAUAAUGACGGUACCCGCAGAAGAAGCCCCGGCUAACUUCGUGCCAGCAGCCGCGGUAAUAAU
rnacentral:rRNA from 1 species